GUUAAUAAAAUAAUUACAAACAUAGUUCUAGUCAAUUUUUUCAUUAUAAAAAUAGAAUUCUUCCAUAGUAAUGCACAUAUUCACACUCAACAAGAUACGAAUCCAUGAACGGAUCUAACCAAGCAUCAAAGGGCAGUUUAAGAGACAUAUCAUCAUCUUCAGUAUCAUUUGGGAGGGAAAUGGAUUGGGGUGAUUUCUAUAAAAGUCAA
rnacentral:lncRNA from 1 species